rnacentral:snRNA from 1 species
AUGAAUUCAGUUGUAUAUAUUCUAAAAUUGGAAUGAUACAGAGAAGAUUAGCAUGGCCCUGAACAAGGAUGCAAAUUUGUGAAGCAUUCCAUUCUUUU